UAUAUUUAGUUAAUUUUUCAAAAUGCAGUCUUURUUUAAUAGAUUAUCAGUGCAAAGAUAUGGUAUUAGUAAUAACCUCCAACGAAGAAACCGGUGGUCAGGACCUAAUUAUUCCAAAGGUGUGCUUUUGAUAUCCUUGUCAGCUGUUCUUGGUGCAUUAGGAGCGUCGAUGUUUAGGAAGUAUUGGCAGAUUGAGUAUGAAAUAGAGCCAAAUUCAAGAACUUCAGCUGAUAAAAAGUAGGAUCCAUCAUCUUCGAUGAAGAGGCAAUGGUUGCAAUUAAGAUGGUUUAAAAAAAGAGACAAAUUCCUGUUAUGUACAUAAAUGGCAAUGAACACCAUUUGCUUUAUGUUCACAUGAGAAAGCUUCUUUGAUGUAACCUAGGUGUAACAGUAUUUGCAGAAGGAAGACGGACUCAUGGUUAAGUCAGACAGUGAGACAGUUUCUGAUCCUUUGUUGUUUAAUGCUGUUAAAUAUAUUACAUUCUCAUGUUUUUCCAUAUGGAAAAGAAAAAAAAGGAUUUUUAAAGUAUUGCAGAAAGUGUGUAAGAAUGCACCGGGCAUGUUGRUAGAUUGCAAGAAAAAAUUCUAACCUUUUGUUACAAUAAUUAUA